GACGAAUGCUGGCGGCGUGCCUAAUACAUGCAAGUAGAACGCUGAAGGAGGAGCUUGCUUCUCUGGAUGAGUUGCGAACGGGUGAGUAACGCGUAGGUAACCUGCCUGGUAGCGGGGGAUAACUAUUGGAAACGAUAGCUAAUACCGCAUAAGAGUAGAUGUUGCAUGACAUUUGCUUAAAAGGUGCAAUUGCAUCACUACCAGAUGGACCUGCGUUGUAUUAGCUAGUUGGUGGGGUAACGGCUCACCAAGGCGACGAUACAUAGCCGACCUGAGAGGGUGAUCGGCCACACUGGGACUGAGACACGGCCCAGACUCCUACGGGAGGCAGCAGUAGGGAAUCUUCGGCAAUGGACGGAAGUCUGACCGAGCAACGCCGCGUGAGUGAAGAAGGUUUUCGGAUCGUAAAGCUCUGUUGUAAGAGAAGAACGAGUGUGAGAGUGGAAAGUUCACACUGUGACGGUAUCUUACCAGAAAGGGACGGCUAACUACGUG
rnacentral:rRNA from 1 species